UACGGGGGGGGCAAGCGUUGUUCGGAAUUACUGGGCGUAAAGGGCGCGUAGGCGGUCUGCUAAGUUGGAUGUGAAAACUCUGGGCUUAACCCAGAGCCUGCAUUCAAUACUGACAGGCUAGAGUUCUGGAGGGGAUAGCGGAAUUCCUGGUGUAGCGGUGAAAUGCGCAGAUAUCAGGAGGAACACCGGUGGCGAAGGCGGUUCUCUGGGCCGUUACCUGACGCUGGAGGAGCGAAAGCCGUGGGGGAGCAAACAGG
rnacentral:rRNA from 1 species